rnacentral:rRNA from 1 species
GACGAACGCUGGCGGCGUGCUUAACACAUGCAAGUCGAACGGAAAGGCCCUGCUUUUGUGGGGUGCUCGAGUGGCGAACGGGUGAGUAACACGUGAGUAACCUGCCCCUGACUUUGGGAUAACUUCAGGAAACUGGGGCUAAUACCGGAUAGGAGCUCCUGCUCCAUGGUGGGGGUUGGAAAGUUUCGGCGGUUGGGGAUGGACUCGCGGCUUAUGGGCUUGUUGGGGGGGUAGUUGCUGACCAAGGCUUUGAAGGGUAGGCGGCCUGGGGGGGUGGGCAGCGACAUUGGGACUGAGAUACGGCCCAGAGUCCUACGGGAGGCAGUAGUGGGAAAUAUUGCAGAAUGGGCGGAAGUCUGAUGCAGCGGCGCCGCGUGCGUGAUGACGGCCUUCGGGUUGUAAACCGCUUUCGCCUGUAACGAAGCGUGAUUGACGGUAAUGGGUAAAGAAGCACCGGCUAACUACGUG